UACGGGGGGGGCAAGCGUUGUUCGGAAUUACUGGGCGUAAAGGGUUAGUAGGUGGCCAACUAAGUCAGACGUGAAAUCUCUCAGCUUAACUGGGGAACUGCGUCUGAGACUGAUUGGCUCGAGGACAGGAGAGGAACGCGGAAUUCCAGGUGUAGCGGUGAAAUGCGUAGAUAUCUGGAGGAACACCGGUGGCGAAGGCGGCGUUCUGGACUGUUUCUGACACUGAAUAACGAAAGCCAGGGGAGCAAACGGG
rnacentral:rRNA from 1 species